AGUUUCACCAUGUUGGCCAGGCUGGUCUCGAACUCCUGACCUCAGGUGAUCUGCCCACCUCAGCCUCCCAAAGUGCUGGGAUUACAAGCGUGAGCCACCACACCCAGUCCCUACACCUGUCUUAAAUGACUCUAAGAAUGUUUAUUUACAGUCCUCAUUUUUUAGCAACUUUAGAAUUACUCAUUUUUACACAUGCACUGUUCAUUCAUGUAUACAACCACACAUAAUGAAAACUUAUUUUUUCCAGAGAUAGUGUUUUUCUAGGAUCUGGACAUUAGCUGAACUCUUUAU